rnacentral:rRNA from 1 species
CGCGCCUAACACAUGCAAGUCGAACGGAAUUAUUUCGGUUGAAGUUUUCGGAUGGAAACUGAUUUAGUUUAGUGGCGAACGGGUGAGUAACGCGUGAGUAACCUGCCCUGGAGUGGGGGACAACAGUUGGAAACGACUGCUAAUACCGCAUAAGCCCACGGCCCGGCAUCGGGCUGAGGGAAAAGGAUUAUUCGCUUCAGGGUGGACUCGCGUCCAAUUAGCUAGUUGGUGAGGUAACGGCCCACCAAGGCGACGAUUGGUAGCGGGACUGAGAGGUUGAACGGCCACAUUGGGACUGAGACACGGCCCAGACUCCUACGGGAGGCAGCAGUGGGGGAUAUUGCACAAUGGGGGAAACCCUGAUGCAGCGACGCCGCGUGGAGGAAGAAGGUUUUCGGAUUGUAAACUCCUGUCGUUAGGGACGAAAAAUGACGGUACCUAACAAGAAAGCACCGGCUAACUACGUGCCAGCCGCCGCGGUAA